rnacentral:rRNA from 1 species
AGAGUUUGAUUAUGGCUCAGGAUGAACGCUAGCUACAGGCUUAACACAUGCAAGUCGAGGGGCAGCAUGAUCGAAGCUUGCUUUGAUUGAUGGCGACCGGCGCACGGGUGAGUAACGCGUAUCCAACCUCCCCUUAGUAGGGCAUAGCCCGUAGAAAUGCGGAUUAAUACCCUAUGUUGUUCGUAGAGGACAUCUGAAAUGAACCAAAGGUUUACCGCUAAGGGAUGGGGAUGCGUCUGAUUAGGUAGUCGGCGGGGUAACGGCCCACCGAGCCUUCGAUCAGUAGGGGUUCUGAGAGGAAGGUCCCCCACAUUGGAACUGAGACACGGUCCAAACUCCUACGGGAGGCAGCAGUGAGGAAUAUUGGUCAAUGGACGAGAGUCUGAACCAGCCAAGUAGCGUGCAGGAUGACGGCCCUAUGGGUUGUAAACUGCUUUUAUACAGGGAUAAAGUUGGGAACGUGUUCCCUUUUGCAGGUACUGUAUGAAUAAGGACCGGCUAAUUCCGUGCCAGCAGCCGC